rnacentral:rRNA from 1 species
GUGGGGAAUAUUGCACAAUGGGCGAAAGCCUGAUGCAGCAACGCCGCGUGAGGGACGACGGCCUUCGGGUUGUAAACCUCUUUUAGUAGGGAAGAAGCGAAAGUGACGGUACCUGCAGAAAAAGCACCGGCUAACUACGUGCCAGCAGCCGCGGUAAUACGUAGGGUGCAAGCGUUAUCCGGAAUUAUUGGGAGUAAAGAGCUCGUAGGCGGUCUGUCGCGUCUGCUGUGAAAACUGGAGGCUCAACCUCCAGCCUGCAGUGGGUACGGGCAGACUAGAGUGCGGUAGGGGAGAUUGGAAUUCCUGGUGUAGCGGUGGAAUGCGCAGAUAUCAGGAGGAACACCGAUGGCGAAGGCAGAUCUCUGGGCCGUAACUGACGCUGAGGAGCGAAAGCGUGGGGAGCGAACAGGAUUAGAAACCCUAGUAGUCC